AACAUCGCGCACCUGCGGGAACCUGCGGAGGGAUCAUUACAGAGUUGCAAAACUCCCUAAACCAUUGUGAACGUUACCUAAACCGUUGCUUCGGCGGGCGGCCCGGGUCCUUCCCGGCGCCCAUCGGCCCUCGCGGGCGCCCGCCGGAGGUAAACCAAACUAUUGCAUUGUAUGGCCUCUCUGAGUCUUCCGUACUGAAUAAGUCAAAACUUUCAACAAUGGAUCUCAGAUCGGAAGAGC
rnacentral:misc_RNA from 1 species